rnacentral:rRNA from 1 species
GGUGGGAGGCGUUGAGAAUACUCUUGCGGGAGUAUUGGAGCUAUCAGUGAGAUACCACUCUUCUAAUGUUAGAUUUCUAACUUUGAACCAUUAUCUGGUCAAAGAACAGUUUCAGGCGGGCAGUUUGACUGGGGCGGUCGCCUCCCAAAUGGUAACGGAGGCGUACAAAGGUUUCCUCUGAACGGGUAGAAAUCGUAUCUAGAGUGUAAAGGCAUAGGGAAGCUUGACUGUGAGACCUACAAGUCGAACAGGGACGAAAGUCGGUCUUAGUGAUCUGACGGUACUGAGUGGAAAGGCCGUCACUCAACG